rnacentral:rRNA from 1 species
UACGGGGGGGGCGAAGCGUUGUCCGGAUUUAUUGGGCGUAAAGAGCUCGUAGGCGGCUCAGUAAGUCAGGUGUGAAAACUCCAGGCUCAACCUGGAGACGCCACCUGAUACUGCUGUGGCUAGAGUCCGGUAGGGGAGCAUGGAAUUCCUGGUGUAGCGGUGAAAUGCGCAGAUAUCAGGAGGAACACCAGUGGCGAAGGCGGUGCUCUGGGCCGGAACUGACGCUGAGGAGCGAAAGCGUGGGGAGCAAACAGG